ensembl:lncRNA
AUCAAACUGAAAAGUCAACCCACAGUUUAUCAAUCUGGCUAUGAGUGUGAUGACAUGUAAGAGGUAAUGUUGGCAGCGUGUGAAACAGGGCUGAGUUUAAAUUUGAUGCAACAAACCUGAACAUGGUGUAAAUGGGACCCAGGGGAUUUUAGGGAGGGUAUAAAGCAGAGGUGGUAGUGGGUGCUCACUGUUUCUCCCUACAGAAGUGACACACAUGUGGUUUGUGGGGACGCUACAAAGUUUUUGGCAAACAAUAUGGAAAUUAAAGAAUAGAGUUUGUAUCAUCAUGUGAGAAAAUAGUGUGAGUAUUGCUCACGCUGUGUGUACUUAUCCCAGGAGUGCUAAAGUCAGAAUAUCAUUAAGUGUCACACUUUGACAAGUUCAUCAGCUGGUAACAAACCUGUUCACAGCUCAGAUCCAGACUCAGAUUUGGUGCCUUUCAGCGUCUCAACAUGUGUUCGAGUCUCUCCAAUAGCCGCCUGAUUCUUCUGCUCUCCCUGAGUGUGAUGAUGCUCAUCUCUGUAUCAGGAGCAAAGCAUUUGGGGAUAUCCUGUUAUAAAAGACAUUCUAACAGUGGUGCAAGAAAAGACGUUAAACCUAACUGGGAAAAAAACAUCAUCAGCUGCUUUGAAGAAAACAGAGAACGCUGCUUAUAUGGAUUUGAGGUGCAAACAAGCAGCGGAAGAGCAUUUUUCCUCAGACCAGACACCGAGUGGCUUAAAAGGAAAAUAAAUGAGGGAACUCUGCUGUGUCCUCCAGUGUUUUCUAAAUGAUGAUGAUGGAAACGAUGAAACAAAGUAAAGCAGCAACUGGAACCAUUACCCCAUUACAGCUGAUUUACUAGUUGAAACUUUUACAGAAAUAUUUGUUAAGAAAUUAUGAUUAUUUUUCGUUAAUUAUGACACUUUCAAAAACAGUCUUAUGUAUAUAUAUAUAUAUUACAAAUUUAAAUAUGAAUGUUUGAUGUUUUCUUAUUCUGUCUUCGAUCUGAGAACAAAGAUAAAUCAAUAAAAGCUUUUCAAAUCAG